GGUCCAGUAGCAUAAUGGUAAUGCGUUGGAUUUGGUUCGUUUGCAAGACGGCAUUCUGAAUGACCCUUGUUCGACUCAAGGCUGGACCA